rnacentral:rRNA from 1 species
GUGCCAGCCGCCGCGGUAAUACGGAGGAUCCAAGCGUUAUCCGGAAUCAUUGGGUUUAAAGGGUCCGUAGGCGGGUUGAUCAGUCAGUGGUGAAAGUCUGCAGCUCAACUGUAGAAUUGCCAUUGAUACUGUCGACCUUGAGUAAUUAUGAAGUGGUUAGAAUAUGUAGUGUAGCGGUGAAAUGCAUAGAUAUUACAUAGAAUACCGAUUGCGAAGGCAGAACACUAAUAAUUUACUGACGCUGAGGGACGAAAGCGUAGGUAGCGAACAGGAUUAGAAACCCGAGUAGUCC